GAUGAACGCUGGCGGCGUGCCUAAUACAUGCAAGUCGAGCGAACGGACGAGAAGCUUGCUUUUCUGAUGUUAGCGGCGGACGGGUGAGUAACACGUGGAUAACCUACCUAUCAGACUGGGAUAACUUCGGGAAACCGGAGCUAAUACCGGAUAAUCUUUUGAACCGCAUGGUUCAAAAGUGAAAGACGGUCUUGCUGUCACUUAUAGAUGGAUCCGCGCUGCAUUAGCUAGUUGGUAAGGUCACGGCUUACCAAGGCAACGAUGCAUAGCCGACCUGAGAGGGUGAUCGGCCACACUGGAACUGAGACACGGUCCAGACUCCUACGGGAGGCAGCAGUAGGGAAUCUUCCGCAAUGGGCGAAAGCCUGACGGAGCAACGCCGCGUGAGUGAUGAAGGUCUUCGGAUCGUAAUACUCUGUUAUGAGGGAAGAACACAUGUGUAAGUAACUGUGCACAUCUUGACGGUACCUAAUCAGAAAGCCACGGCUAACUACGUG
rnacentral:rRNA from 1 species